rnacentral:tRNA from 1 species
GCGCUCGUGGCGAAAUUGGCAGACGCGCUAGAUUCAGGUUCUAGUGGGUAAAACCAUGGAGGUUCGAGUCCUCUCGAGCGCA